UCUACGGGUGGCAGCAGUGGGGAAUAUUGGACAAUGGGGGCAACCCUGAUCCAGCCAUGCCGCGUGUGUGAAGAAGGCCCUCGGGUUGUAAAGCACUUUCAGUGAGGAAGAACGCCUGGUGGUUAAUACCCAUCAGGAAAGACAUCACUCACAGAAGAAGCACCGGCUAACUCCGUGCCAGCAGCCGCGGUAAUACGGAGGGUGCGAGCGUUAAUCGGAAUUACUGGGCGUAAAGCGCGCGUAGGUGGCUUGAUAAGCCGGUUGUGAAAGCCCCGGGCUCAACCUGGGAACGGCAUCCGGAACUGUCAAGCUAGAGUGCAGGAGAGGAAGGUAGAAUUCCCGGUGUAGCGGUGAAAUGCGUAGAGAUCGGGAGGAAUACCAGUGGCGAAGGCGGCCUUCUGGACUGACACUGACACUGAGGUGCGAAAGCGUGGGUAGCAAACAGGAUUAGAUACCCCUGUAGUC
rnacentral:rRNA from 1 species